rnacentral:rRNA from 1 species
GAUGAACGCUGGCGGUAUGCCUAACACAUGCAAGUCGUACGAGAGUUUUUAACUCUAGUGGCGGACGGGUGAGUAACACGUGAGAAUUUGCCUUUAGGAGGGGGAUAACAAUUGGAAACGAAUGCUAAUACCCCAUAUGCUUUUGAGUGAAACGGAUUUAUCCGCCUAGAGAGAAGCUCGCGGCUGAUUAGCUUGUUGGUAAGGUAAGAGCUUACCAAGGCGACGAUCAGUAUCUGGUUUGAGAGGACGAUCAGACACACUGGAACUGAGACACGGUCCAGACUCCUACGGGAGGCAGCAGUGGGGAAUUUUCCGCAAUGGGCGAAAGCCUGACGGAGCAAUACCGCGUGAGGGAAGACUGCCUAUGGGUUGUAAACCUCUUUUUCAGGGAGGAAUAAAUGACGUGUACCUGAAGAAUAAGCAUCGGCUAACUCCGUG